AGUGAACGCUGGCGGUAGGCCUAACACAUGCAAGUCGAACGGCAGCACAGUAAGAGCUUGCUCUUACGGGUGGCGAGUGGCGGACGGGUGAGGAAUACAUCGGAAUCUACUUUUUCGUGGGGGAUAGCGUAGGGAAACUUACGCUAAUACCGCAUACGACCUACGGGUGAAAGCAGGGGAUCUUCGGACCUUGCGCGAUUGAAUGAGCCGAUGUCGGAUUAGCUAGUUGGCGGGGUAAGGGCCCACCAAGGCGACGAUCCGUAGCUGGUCUGAGAGGAUGAUCAGCCACACUGGAACUGAGACACGGUCCAGACUCCUACGGGAGGCAGCAGUGGGGAAUAUUGGACAAUGGGCGCAAGCCUGAUCCAGCCAUACCGCGUGGGUGAAGAAGGCCUUCGGGUUGUAAAGCCCUUUUGUUGGGAAAGAAAAGCAGCAGGUUAAUACCCCGCUGUUCUGACGGUACCCAAAGAAUAAGCACCGGCUAACUUCGUG
rnacentral:rRNA from 1 species